rnacentral:tmRNA from 1 species
GGGGUUGUACUGGUUUCGACGGGCUCACUGAAGAUGGAGAAGCUGUUCGUGGUCGGACACCACGUAAAAAGUUCGACUUAAAUUUAAACGCAGAAGAUAAUUUUGCAUUAGCUGCCUAGUUGCAGCUCAUCGGCCCUCAUAGCCCACGAUGAGGAUCACCGGUGUCAACCUUGUGGGACCCUCUAAUGUCAAAGCUUUGAGAUAUUAGAACAUUUAUGAAGCUACUAAAAGCUGCAGCCUGUUAGUGGGCGUCAGCUGGAGGGAAUGUUAAAGCACUGACUAUAACAGUAGAAGUACAUUGAAUCUGGGUUCGGACCGGGGUUCGACUCCCCGCAGCUCCACUA